AUGAGGUCGGGGAGGCCAGCCCCCGUGGCGAGCGGGUGUCGUGUCGAGUCCAUUCGGGCUUGAGCCGGCAGUCGUCCGUUAAUUCUCAACCCCAUGUUUACUAUACCUUUGUUGCUUUGGCGGGCCUUGAGUAGGCUAUACGGCUCAUGCCGGCCUCAGGCUUCAAUGCCUUGAGGGCGGCUCGCGUCCGCCAGAGGUUUUAUUCAAAUCCCAAUUAUCAGUGAUGUCUGAGCAAAUAUUAAAUAAUCAAAACUUUCAACAACGGAUCUCUUGGUUCUGGCAUCGAUGAAGAACGCAGCGAAAUGCGAUAAGUAAUGUGAAUUGCAGAAUUUAGUGAAUCAUCGAAUCUUUGAACGCACAUUGCGCCCCUCGGUAUUCCGGGGGGCAUGCCUGUUCGAGCGUCAUUACACCCCUCAAGCGUAGCUUGGUAUUGAACUUUUCGCGGGCACUCUUACAAGGGCUCGCGGGUUCGAAAAGCAGUGGCGGUCCCCGAGGAUUUCGCGCGUAGUAAAUUUUAUCCCGCGUUGGAAAGAAUCGAUGGGUCUUGCCAAAACCCCCUAAUCUCCAUAAAUUGACCUCGGAUCAGGAGGGAUACCCGCUGAACUUAAGCAUAUCAU
rnacentral:rRNA from 1 species